UACGAAGGGGGGCGAGCGUUGUUCGGAUUUACUGGCGUAAAGGGCGCGCAGGCGGUUCUGUUGUCGAGUGUGAAGCCCCGGGCUCAACCUGGGAACUGCGCUCGAAACGGCGGAACUAGAGUUCGGGAGAGGAGAGUGGAAUUCCCAGUGUAGAGGUGAAAUUCGUAGAUAAUUGGGAAGAACACCGGUGGCGAAGGCGGGCUCAUCU
rnacentral:rRNA from 1 species